GUAGGCCUCUCCCAAAGCACAACACUGGAUGCGAUUAUAGCUUUCCGAGCUUUCAGAGUGAGUAAGUUGUGUUUUUAUCAUCUAAAACUACAAGGUAAUAUUAACUUACCUGAGUAAGCAGGUACCUACCUACUUUCAUGGCUAUUAACGUCUGCAUACUCAGCAUUAUACGCAAUGGAGUAAGUACCACAUUAGGUCAAAUCUUGACUCAUUCAAGUAAAAAAUAUGUUUAAAUGAGAACACAUGCAAUAUUCACUAAAAUGUAUGAAGGUUUUAUUUUCAUAUCACAACACAAUACAAAUGAAUAAAUUAAGGAUACAAUUACGUAUGAAGUCUUUUUGAGUAGGUAUUUAAGUAUAUUAAAUAUUUAAAUUCACCAAAGUGAGAGUCAAAUUAAAGGUAGAUUCAAAUAAAUUAUUUCUACGUCUAUUGAAUAUCACAAGCAUGUACUGUACAUUCGUUACUAAUAGGCCUUAGAUUAACAAUAUACAUACGGUUAAAUAGU